CUGGAGGGCGCUGGGAGCCACUUGUUGCUGCUGAGGUUAUUGGCACCGCUCUGGGAUGUCUCACCCUCCUGUACCGCUGCUGCCUGUGAUGCGGUUCGCAUCGGAGCUCAUCCAGAAGUAGGUGUCCUCUCAUCAAGAAGCUGCUCUCGUGGGAAGUUGGCCACUCCACGCCGUUACUGAUACUUGCAAAUAAAGAUACUUCCGCAUUCAUCAGCGAUGUCCACAACUCCAAAGGAGGACACUAACCACUGGUGCCCAAUACAGUUGUACAUGAGCUGCAGCACAGUGAUAGCAUUUCAUAAGCACUUACAUAUUGUGCAGAGGCCUCGUUUGAACAUUAGGGCUCUGGAUUGUAACUGCUGAUCUUCGUGAAUGAGCUACAAUGAGGUUUGUGAACAAUAACAAGGAUACAAUGAAACUCCCAGGAUCCACUACAGGCUGGACAGCUCCAGGCUAUAUAAA